CAAUGUUGUUCUAACAAGUCUGAUACAGUCAUGAUGAACAAGAAUGUUACAAGGUUGACGACACAGGGUUGUAACAAUAUUGUUAUAUCAUGACUGUAUCGGACUUGUUGGAACAACCUUG